GACGAACGCUGGCGGCGUGCCUAAUACAUGCGAGUAGAACGCGGAAGGAGGAGCUUGCUUCUCUGGAUGAGUUGCGAACGGGUGAGUAACGCGUAGGUAACCUGCCUGGUAGCGGGGGAUAACUAUUGGAAACGAUAGCUAAUACCGCAUAAUAGUAGAUGUUGCAUGACAUUUGCUUAAAAGGUGCAAUUGCAUCACUACCAGAUGGACCUGCGUUGUAUUAGCUAGUUGGUGACGUAACGGCUCACCAAGGCAACGAUACAUAGCCGACCUGAGAGGGUGAUCGGCCACACUGGGACUGGAGCACGGCCCAGCCCCCUACGGGAGGCAGCAGUAGGGAAUCUUCGGCAAUGGACGGAAGGCUGACCGAGCGACGCCGCGUGAGUGAAGAAGGUUUUCGGAUCGUAAAGCUCUGUUGUAAGAGAAGAACGAGUGUGAGAGUGGAAAGUUCACACUGUGACGGUAUCUUACCAGAAAGGGACGGCUAACUACGUG
rnacentral:rRNA from 1 species